UAACAAGGAUUCCCCUAGUAACUGCGAGUGAAGCGGGAAAAGCUCAAAUUUAAAAUCUGACAGUUUCACUGUCCGAGUUGUAAUCUGGAGAAGCAUUUUCCGUGUCGGACCGUGUACAAGUCUCUUGGAAUAGAGCGUCAUAGAGGGUGAGAAUCCCGUCCAUGACACGGACUACCGAUGCUUUGUGAUAUGCUCUCGAAGAGUCGAGUUGUUUGGGAAUGCAGCUCAAAAUGGGUGGUAAAUUCCAUCUAAAGCUAAAUAUUGGCGAGAGACCGAUAGCGAACAAGUACCGUGAGGGAAAGAUGAAAAGCACUUUGGAAAGAGAGUUAAACAGUACGUGAAAUUGUUGAAAGGGAAACGCUUGAAGUCAGUCGCGUUGAUUGAGACUCAGCCUUGCUUUGCAUGGUGUACUUCUCAGUUAACGGGUCAACAUCAAUUUCAGUUGGUGGAUAAAGGCAUUGGGAAUGUGGCACCUUCGGGUGUGUUAUAGACCUUUGUUGCAUACACUGACCGGGAUUGAGGAACGCAGCACGCCACUAAGGCCAGGGGUUCGCCCCAUGUAACGUGCUUAGGAUGUUGGCAUAAUGGCUUUAAGCGAC
rnacentral:rRNA from 1 species